rnacentral:rRNA from 1 species
UACGAAGGGGGCUAGCGUUGCUCGGAAUUACUGGGCGUAAAGGGCGCGUAGGCGGAUAUUUAAGUCGGGGGUGAAAGCCCGGGGCUCAACCUCGGAAUUGCCUUCGAUACUGGAUAUCUUGAUGUCGGGAGAGGUGAGUGGAAUGCCGAGUGUAGAGGUGAAAUUCGUAGAUAUUCGGCGGAACACCAGUGGCGAAGGCGACUCACUGGCCCGAUACUGACGCUGAGGCGCGAAAGCGUGGGGGAGCAAACAGG